UUUUUCCUCCACUUUGUGUGUGUAUGGUGACCUCAACUGACAAUGACCGUCUGAAAAUCUACUCCUUCCAAGCCUAAUUAUGUUGGAUGUUUGCUGAAGGGUGAGAUAUGCUGCUUGCUCUGUAGGGCACAUACCAAACACCUGCUUGCCAUGCAGAGUGGGCUUUGCCAUUCAAAGUUUGUGUGCUGCACAGGGAGAGAGCAGAUGUAAGGUGCAUGGGCUCAGCUUCAGAAGGCAGCCAUGUGCCCCCCCAUUAUAACUGCCGUGGGGAGUAGGGGAGGGAACAGAGGUAAAAGCUACAACAGGAAAACAGGACUGUGGCAACAUUUUGCUUCUUUCCUUUGCCUCCAUCUUUCCCCCUGCGGCCAGAAAGAGCGGAUGCACUGGGGCCAUUUUGACUCCUGAGUGGGAUCGCAAGGCCUGCGUGCAGGGCUGUCCCUAGCAUAUGCAGAAGACAUAGCUGCGUAGGGCACCAUGAAAUUUGCAGCAUCAAAUUGCCCCAAAUUUCAUGGUGCCCUAGGCAGUUGUGUGUUGCAUACAUGGCAGCACCAGCUCCGGCAGCCACCUCUAUCCCCCAGCUGGCCCCCCACGGUCUGAGCCUCCUGCAAGGAGCAGGCCCAUCCCUAGUGGCUGUGGGGCCUGGGACAACUCCCUUGGCCCUGCCUCUUAAUCUUUCCCCCUGCUCUGCCCCUGGCCUACCCCCAUUCCACCUCUUUGCCCCCUAAGCCUCUUCCCCCAGCGACCCCACACUCACCGGCAGUAGGGCCUCAACUCUGGGUGACUCUGCUGGGGAUCAUGCCUGGCUUCCCUUUUGUGGCAGUGAUUCUUGAGUGUAACCCCACCCAGUCACCCCUCACCCAGGCUUCCUGGCACAGUCACAGGGCUGGGGGAGGCAGAUACCAGUGGACAAAUCAUAUUUGGAAUGGCUGUUUGUACUUCAGGCAGUGUGGCUGAGGUGCCAGCUGGGGGCAGUGCUGCUCUGGGGACGAGUGGCCCUCUCCCUUUCUGUGAGGAGCUGCGAGGGGUGGCCUACGUGAAGGGGAGGGAUUCUCAUCCCUUUCUAUUUUUAAAAGUGGCUGUAGCUUUUCCCAUGCAGUGUAAAUUGUUACUAUGCAGCGCGGAUGCCUUUGUUCUGCGUGAAGCCGGCACGAGUAGGCAAAAGCUGACUGGCAGGGGUUGCCUCGCACUGUGCCCGAUCUUGGCUUCAGAGCACAGGGGUGAGGAGAGUGGGGCCGUCCCGCCCAGCCACAGAAGUGCAGAGUCCUGGGGCUGCUGGUUAUGCUGUCAGGCCUGGCCACCUGGACUCUGAGCAGAGACACCGUUCUCCACCCCUCCACUUCCCAUAGGCUGGCUUUCCAAUCAGUUUGCAGUGAACAUGAGGUUGCCUUGGGGAGCCUUUUCUACCCCACAGCAUGGGCACAGCUUGAGAAGUAGCAGGGCGAGCUUCUUCUGUGCUCUGGUAGCAAAGGGCCUUACUUGUUGUCUGGCAUGGAAGAGAGGGGUUUGGCCUCCCAUUAUAUGUCCUUUCUAUCUGAUUGCUCCUUUCACCUCCUGCCUCUGGCCUUUUCUUUCUCCCCCCACCCAGAGCAGGGUGUCUCCCUCCUCUCAGCCUGUUUCACCCUCACUUCUUGCCUCUCUUCCCCUCCCCCUCCCCUCACCAGCUCUUGCAUCCCGUAUGUCAGCUGCUCUGGGACUGUUGGUAAAACGUCUUACACUGCUGUCGAAGGGCCAGCCCCUCACCGCAGCUCAGCAGCCACUAUGGGGGUCUUUAGCCCAGCAUGAAGCUGCCAAACCAGAGGUGAGUUAGGAACGGGGCUAGAUGGACACAGGACCGGACCGGCCCCACACAGAUAGAAGCAGGGUCACUUUCCCCUGUAGCACCCAUCAGCAUACCACCUAGCUGGUAUGAGGUGACUGGCACAGUAUGAGAACCUCUAGAGAGUAGACUAGACUUCCCACACUCCAUUUGAUCCUUGGUCUCCCUACUGCACCUACCCAUAUGGAGCCAGCUGUAAUGUGGAGUCAGAACCCCUCCCAUUGGCCACCAAGUGACCAUCUGCUGGUGUUGACUUGUGAUGGUGUCAGCCUGGACUGGAUCUGCCGUGCCAGCCUGGAGGCAAAGGUGCUGUCCCGUUCCCUGUUCCUACAGCCAUUGGGCUACCUUGCUAUCUCUCUUGCACUCCACAGCAUGAGGACAGUCUGCUGCCUGUCUAGGCAAGGCUGCAGAGGCCAUGAGAUGCAAUGGAAGUGCAGGUGGGACAAAGCAGCCCGAUCUACAUCAGGGAUUUGCUGUGAAUGUCAGGCUGGAGUAACCCAGAGGCCAGGAUCAGUUUGGUUUACCCAAGCUUAGCUUCGGACUGCCUGUGAGAUGGGGGCCCAGGUUCGGCUGCAGAAUUGAGCAGAUGUUGAUGUCCCACAAGCUGCCCUACUGCGGCCUGGCCUUGUAGAGAGUUGCCCAAAACUGCUAAGGCAAGGAGGCAGCUUGAGAGGGUGACAGCUGACUCUGGAGUCCCACGUAGGAAGUUGAGAGCCAAGGCCCAAAUUCAUCCCUAGUGUAACACCGCUGAGGUCGAUGGAUGGGUCUCAGUGUAUCCCCCCAUCCAGCACACAAGGCUCCCCCCACCCCGCCCCAAGCGAUACCAGGGAAGCCUCCCCUGUGAAGCAAGUUUGGGCUCUGGCCAGUGCUACCUGUGACAGGAAGCUCACCCCAGACUUCAGUCCAGGCACCACACAUGGGGGUUUGGUGUUCCCAGGCUCUUAUGAAGAGGGGAGGGGAUGGAAGUGAGGGGCCACAGCAAGGAGGGGGCUGGGGAGAAGCAGAUGGAGUUAGUCAUUGCUGCAGCGUCUGGUGUGGGGGAGGCAAAGCGCAGCCAAUGAUACCACCUGUCUGCUGGCACCAAUGGUGUCAGCAGUGCGCCGAGCCCAUCCCAGCACUGACACUCCACGGUAGUGACUGACAGCCCAGUGACAAUUUAGUGGGAGUGAAAAUGCUCCUUCUCUUAUGGCCUUGGAGGCUGCAUUCACCUCAUGCCACUAGUGCCUUUAGGAGCAGCCUUAGUCUCUCCCUUGUUGGCUGGCAAGCAAGACUCAGCUUCAUUGCAGAUGUCAGUGCCUGUGUGCACUAGACAUGGAGAUGCUUGCACCAAACACCUGCAUCUGCCAUGCCCCAUCACACACACAGCCAUGCGCCCAGAGGCACGCUCGCCCAGCUGUCCUGCCACAGCCACGUGUACCCAUCUGAGUUCUAUAACUACCUGUACAGCCAGAUGCUGUCAGAUCCCCACAGCACCAUGCACACGUGUAUGUUCAUAGAGCUGCGGGUAUGCCUGCACACUCUGACCCUAAGCGCGAGUGGUGUGUGCACAUGUCCAGUGUAUCACUCAGCUGUGCCCAAACAUACCUGGAUAUACCCCAUCUGCAGCCUGAUGCUCUCUCACUUGCUCCCCAGUGUGUAAACCCCUCCCCCAGGAGCUGGGAAAUCUCCAGAGCUCGGUAUGCUUAGGAAAAGGUAUUUGCCAUUGAAAUAAAAAUUGCUGCUUUCCUG